GAAAUUGAGAUUAGUGGCGGACGGGUGAGUAACGCGUGAGGAACCUGCCUUACAGAGGGGGACAACAGUUGGAAACGACUGCUAAUACCGCAUGCUGUAAGAUGGCCUCGCGUCUGAUUAGAUAGUUGGUGGGGUAACGGCCUACCAAGUCGACGAUCAGUAGCCGGACUGAGAGGUUGAACGGCCACAUUGGGACUGAGACACGGCCCAGACUCCUACGGGAGGCAGCAGUGGGGGAUAUUGCACAAUGGAGGAAACUCUGAUGCAGCAACGCCGCGUGAGGGAAGAAGGUUUUCGGAUUGUAAACCUCUGUUUUUAGUGAAGCGGUAGCUAAAGAGGAAGCCACGGCUAACUACGUGCCAGCAGCCGCGGUAAUACGUAGGUGGCAAGCGUUGUCCGGAAUUACUGGGUGUAAAGGGUGCGCAGGCGGGAUUGCAAGUUGGAUGUGAAAUACCGGGGCUUAACCCCGGAGCUGCAUCCAAAACUGUAGUUCUUGAGUGGAGUAGAGGUAAGCGGAAUUCCGAGUGUAGC
rnacentral:rRNA from 1 species